GCGGCGCGGAGGUGGAGCCACAUGCCAGCGCGCGCCCGCCCGCGUGGCGUCCGACCUCCCUCCACGUUUCGCUUCCUCCCCUUGCAGUCCCGGGAAUCUGCUGCUGCCUCUGCCUGCUUCUCUUCGCUUCCCCGAACACUACUACUAGUUCUAGCAUUCCUCCACCAAGCGACUCAAGCAGCGGCUGCGGCUGCGGCGGCCGCAGCGCGAACUGGCGAACCCUGCUGCUUCCAGCCGCCUCCUCCGGUGAUCACCGGACGGCCGGAGUAGGAACCAACGAGAGCGCAGCCCAGAUCCCACCUCCUUCCGCUGCUGCUGGUUUUCGACGGAGAUGGAAGGUGUUCUGCAAGCGGGAGAUGCCAAGGACUGGGUUUACAAAGGGGAGGGCGCUGCGAAUCUCAUCCUCAGCUACACGGGCUCAUCCCCUUCCAUGCUUGGCAAGGUACUGCGGGUCAAGAAGAUUCUAAAAGACAAGUCGCAACCGGCACCAAGUUGUAUGGUCUUCUCAAGUUAUGAGCAACUCCUGUGGGGCCACAUCCCGGAAUUACUUGACUCUGUCAAACAAGAUUGCUUGGCUCAAGCCUAUGCAGUGCAUGUUAUGAGCAAACAUCUCGGAGCUAAUCAUGUCGACAGCGGGGUUCGUGUAGGUGUCUCUUGGGAUUUUCUGGAACUUGUUGAAAAGAAUGUUCUUAACAGCCGUCCUGCUUGGAGAGUGAAUGCAAGUUCAAUUGAUAACACUGCUGAUGCUGCUCUUCUAAUAGCAGAUCAUUCUUUAUUUUCUGGUAAUCCUAGAGGCAGCAGUUGCAUAGCUGUGGAGAUAAAGGCCAAAUGUGGGUUUCUGCCAUCAUCAGAAUAUAUAUCAAAAGAAAAUUCCAUCAAGAAACAAGUAACACGGUAUAAGAUGCAUCAGCACCUCAAAUUUCAUCAGGGCCAGAUAUCGAAGACUAGUGAAUACAAUCCUCUUGAUCUAUUUUCUGAGUCAAAAGAAAGGAUAUGCAUGGCCAUCAAGUCAUUUUUCUCAACUCCUCAGAACAACUUCAGGAUUUUUGUCAACGGUUCUUUAGUUUUUGGUGGCAUGGGAGGUGGUGCAGAUAAUGUUCAUCCUGCUGAAAAAGACAAGUGUCUUGAAGAUCUCAGCAAGGUUAGUGGCCUAGAACUACCCGACUUCAUUGAGCUCCUGUCAGAGGCGAUUUUUAGAUCUGGAGUACUAGGUAAACUGUUGGCCACCCAAAAGCUGGACGAUCAUGACAUUGAAGGGGCAAUUCAUUUGUACUACAACAUAAUUUCGCAGCCUUGUUUGGUGUGCAAAAAUAUAGCUGAUGUAGAGCUAUUGGGGAAGUACACUCUCUUGCAUUCUCUUUCGUUGGACAAGAGCUUGAAGAUUGUCAGGGACUUUCUUGUUUCUGCUACUGCAAAGGACUGUAGCCUGAUGAUCAGCUUUCGGCCAAGAGAGGGAGGAACUACAGAUUCUGUGUAUGAUUCAGUAUUUCUUGAAUCAGUGAAGCAAACCUAUGAGUACAAGGCAUAUUUCGUUGAUCUGGAUGUGAAACCUCUGGAUAAGAUGGAACAUUAUUUUGAUCUGGAUCAGAAGAUAGUCAAUUUCUACACAAGAAAUCAGGAGGUCGUGCCAUCUCCAAAGGUCAGUAACACUAAAGACACUUCACCCAUUCAGCUCCAACAAUGAGGAGCCUCUUCCAAUGUAUGCCUGGAGAAGGGCGCAUCUCGGAGUGUCGAUUGUUAUUUGUUGUUGCUGUUGUUGUAACUUCAUGAGUACAGUCCCAAGGUUGGGAGGCUUGUUCCUUAGGCCUGGAAAGGGUACACAAGGAGCUGUUGUUCGUCGUUGCUGUUGUAACUCUACUAGUGCAUAGACCGUGGCUUGUCACCGCAAAUCUGCAGAGAUGUUCAAUGUUAGUUGAGAAACUGAGAUGAUUGAUGCUUACCGUGGCAACCACUCAUUGUAAAAUCCCAGUUGAAAUGAGGGCUGAAGUUUCCCUCGCAGGUUACCGUCUUUCCUAC